UUCGGCAUAGGUGUCAGUUCCCCCUCCUUAGCCCCUUUCUUAUAACCCAUUACAACGCCACCACUACCUCUGCUUGAAUCUUCAAUCUCGAAAGAAGGUUUCUUUUCUACCACAGGUGGUGGCUCUGAUUUCACGCUCAAGGAAUCCUUCUUCCCCCUGCGGGAGGAUCUGGAAGAUACUCCUUUCCUUGCGCAGGUUAUGUGAGUCGAGAUUGACGAACGAGGAAGAGCAUGGAAAGUGGAGAAGAGGCCGAUAACGACGCUAUCCGUGUAGAUCAGAGCCAUCGGUGACACCGUGGUUCACUGAGGGAAAAGAGAAC
rnacentral:lncRNA from 1 species